rnacentral:rRNA from 1 species
ACCCUUAGAUGUCCUGGGCCGCACGCGCGCUACACUGAGUGUCUGAGAUACGAGUCUGCCUGGUCCGGCAAGGUCUAGGUAAUCGCUAAAAGACACAUCAUGCUUGGGAUAGAUUAUUGCAAAUAUUAAUCUUGAACGAGGAAUUCCUAGUAAGCGCAAGUCAACAGCUUGCGUUGAUUACGUCCCUGCCCUUUGUACACACCGCCCGUCGCUACUACUGAUUGGAUGUUUAAGCGAGGUUCCCGAACUGCUAGCGACUUAGCUUCGGUGAGGUCGCAGUGUGGGAAGUGAACCUAGCUUUGGUGUCUAGAGGAAGUAAAAGUCGUAACA